rnacentral:rRNA from 1 species
UACAGAGGGUGCAAGCGUUAAUCGGAAUUACUGGGCGUAAAGCGUGCGUAGUCGGUUAUUUAAGUCGGGUGUGAAAGCCCCGGGCUCAACCUGGGAAUUGCAUUCGAUACUGGAUAGCUAGAGUUCGGCAGAGGGAAGCGGAAUUUCCGGUGUAGCGGUGAAAUGCGUAGAUAUCGGAAGGAACAUCAGUGGCGAAAGCGGCUUCCUGGACCAGAACUGACGAUCAGGCACGAAAGCGUGGAGAGCAAACAGGG